rnacentral:rRNA from 1 species
AUUGAACGCUGGCGGCAGGCCUAACACAUGCAAGUCGAGCGGAUGAAGGGUGCUUGCUCCUGGUUUCAGCGGCGGACGGGUGAGUAAUGCCUAGGAAUCUGCCUGGUAGUGGGGGAUAACGUCCGGAAACGGGCGCUAAUACCGCAUACGUCCUGAGGGAGAAAGUGGGGGAUCUUCGGACCUCACGCUAUCAGAUGAGCCUAGGUCGGAUUAGCUAGUUGGUGGGGUAAAGGCCUACCAAGGCGACGAUCCGUAACUGGUCUGAGAGGAUGAUCAGUCACCCUGGAACGUGGACACGGACCAGGGGACUACGGGAGGCAGCAGUGGGGAAUAUUGGACAGUGGGCGGAAGUCUUGUCCAACCAUGGCAAGUGUGUGAAGAAGGCCUUCGGAUUGUAAAGCACGUUAAGUUGGGAGGAAGGGCAGUAAGUUAAUACCUAGCUGUUUUGACGUUACCAACAGAAUAAGCACCGGCUAACUUCGUG